GUCACGGAGGAGCAGCGGGAGAGAGCAAAGCCUUGCCAAGGGCAUGGGCCCGGGAAGCAGGAGAUGGGUCAGAGGAACCCAUGGCUGUAACUGCUGUGCUGUGCCUCGUCACAAACCGGAUCUUCGAGAAACUCGGAGCAGCUGAAACCUCCAGUUCCCCCAGCACUUCUGUGGGAGGAGAGGAAUGAAGCAGAACGGAUACAGCACAGAGGCCCAGAAAGUUUUCCAUGAACGAACAGAGUGGAUCACCUGGAAACUCCUUACC